GUGGGUAGUCUCGAGUGUAUAGUGGCAGGAACUUCACGAUUUUGCCACCGUUGAAAGUUGCCAGGAUAACCCCCACCGGCUGGAAGCACCACUGGUAUGGGAGCUAGGGGUGUCACCCGAUAUUGUAGUGUAGAGGGCUGUAAGUUUUGGGUUGCAGGGUUGUAUUUAUCACUUAUUUAUGAGCCAGAUUGUGCGGAGCUCUCAGUGUGUACGACCAUUCCGUGCAGCUG